AGCGAACGCUGGCGGCAGGCCUAACACAUGCAAGUCGAACGGUAACAGGUCUUCGGAUGCUGACGAGUGGCGAACGGGUGAGUAAUACAUCGGAACGUGCCUAGUAGUGGGGGAUAACUACUCGAAAGAGUGGCUAAUACCGCAUGAGGUCUACGGAUGAAAGCAGGGGAUCGCAAGACCUUGUGCUACUAGAGCGGCCGAUGGCAGAUUAGGUAGUUGGUGGGAUAAAAGCUUACCAAGCCGACGAUCUGUAGCUGGUCUGAGAGGACGAUCAGCCACACUGGGACUGAGACACGGCCCAGACUCCUACGGGAGGCAGCAGUGGGGAAUUUUGGACAAUGGGCGCAAGCCUGAUCCAGCAAUGCCGCGUGCAGGAUGAAGGCCUUCGGGUUGUAAACUGCUUUUGUACGGAACGAAAAGCCCUGGGUUAAUACCCUGGGGUCAUGACGGUACCGUAAGAAUAAGCACCGGCUAACUACGUGCCAGCAGCCGCCGUAAGAC
rnacentral:rRNA from 1 species